UGCCUUCAAGAAGACGGCCUACACGCU
rnacentral:piRNA from 1 species